AAAAAGAUAAGCUAAUUAAGCUACUGGGUUCAUACCCCAUUUAUGAAAGUUCUAGCCUUUCUCUUUUUA
rnacentral:tRNA from 1 species